rnacentral:rRNA from 1 species
AAUCAACGCUGGCGGCGUGCCUCAGACAUGCAAGUCGUACGAUUAAACUUUCCUUCGGGAAAGAUAUAGAGUGGCGCACGGGUGAGUAACACGUAAGUAAUCUACCUUUGGGUGGGAAUAACAACCGGAAACGGUUGCUAAUACCGCAUAAUGCAGCGGCUCGACAUCGAGACAGUUGUUAAAGCAUUUAUGCGCCUGAAGAGGAGCUUGCGGCGGAUUAGCUAGNGGUAAGGUAAUGGCUUACCAAGGCAACGAUCUGUAGCCGACCUGAGAGGGUGGUCGGUCACACUGACACUGAAUAACGGGUCAGACUCCUACGGGAGGCAGCAGUCGGGAAUUUGGGCAAUGGGCGAAAGCCUGACCCAGCAACGCCGCGUGAAGGAUGAAGUAUUUCGGUAU